CUAAGAAUAUUCCGCAAUGGACGAAAGUCUGACGGAGCGACGCCGCGUGGAUGAUGAAGGCCGAAAGGUUGUAAAGUCCUUUUGCUGGGGAAGAAUAACCAUGGGAGGGAAUGCCCGUGGGAUGACAUGAACCGGCGAAUAAGCCCCGGCCAACUACGUGCCAGCAGCCGCGGUAACACGUAGGGGGCGAGCGUUGUUCGGAAUUACUGGGCGUAAAGGGCAUGUAGGCGGUCUUGUAAGCUUGGCGUGA
rnacentral:rRNA from 1 species